AUUGAACGCUGGCGGAAUGCUUUACACAUGCAAGUCGAACGGUAGAGGGGGGCAACCCCUUGAGAGUGGCGAACGGGUGAGUAAUAUAUCGGAACGUGCCCAGUCGUGGGGAUAACGUAGCGAAAGUUACGCUAAUACCGCAUACGAUCUAAGGAUGAAAGCGGGGGAUCGCAAGACCUCGCGCGAUUGGAGCGGCCGAUAUCAGAUUAGGUAGUUGGUGAGGUAAAGGCUCACCAAGCCAACGAUCUGUAGCUGGUCUGAGAGGACGACCAGCCACACUGGAACUGAGACACGGUCCAGACUCCUACGGGAGGCAGCAGUGGGGAAUUUUGGACAAUGGACGCAAGUCUGAUCCAGCAUUCCGCGUGCAGGAUGAAGGCCCU
rnacentral:rRNA from 1 species